AUUGAACGCUGGCGGCAUGCCUUACACAUGCAAGUCGAACGGUAACGGGCCUUCGGGUGCCGACGAGUGGCGAACGGGUGAGUAAUACAUCGGAACGUGCCCGAUCGUGGGGGAUAACGAGGCGAAAGCUUUGCUAAUACCGCAUACGAUCUACGGAUGAAAGCAGGGGACCGCAAGGCCUUGCGCGGACGGAGCGGCCGAUGGCAGAUUAGGUAGUUGGUGGGAUAAAAGCUUACCAAGCCGGCGAUCUGUAGCUGGUCUGAGAGGAUGAUCAGCCACACUGGGACUGAGACACGGCCCAGACUCCUACGGGAGGCAGCAGUGGGGAAUUUUGGACAAUGGGCGCAAGCCUGAUCCAGCCAUGCCGCGUGCAGGAUGUAGGCCUUCGGGUUGUAAACUGCUUUUGUACGGAACGAAAAGCCUUCUCUUAAUACAGGAGGGUCAUGACGGUACCGUAAGAAUAAGCACCGGCUAACUACGUG
rnacentral:rRNA from 1 species